GACGAACGCUGGCGGCACGCCUAACACAUGCAAGUCGAGCGGAGAUUGAGAGCUUGCUCUCAUGAUCAGCGGCGGACGGGUGAGUAACACGUGAGCAACCUGCCUUUCAGAGGGGGACAACAGUUGGAAACGACUGCUAAUACCGCAUAACAUUGCCGAACGGCAUCGUUUGGCAAUCAAAGGAGCAAUCCGCUGAAAGAUGGGCUCGCGUCUGAUUAGAUAGUUGGUGAGGUAACGGCUCACCAAGUCGACGAUCAGUAGCCGGACUGAGAGGUUGAUCGGCCACAUUGGGACUGAGACACGGCCCAGACUCCUACGGGAGGCAGCAGUGGGGGAUAUUGGACAAUGGGGGAAACCCUGAUCCAGCGAUGCCGCGUGAGGGAAGAAGGUUUUCGGAUUGUAAACCUCUGUUCUUAGUGAAGAUAAUGACGGUAGCUAAGGAGCAAAGGCCAACGGCUAACUACGUGCCAGCAGCCG
rnacentral:rRNA from 1 species